rnacentral:tRNA from 1 species
GCCCCCGUAGUAUAAAGGAUAGAAUUUCGGAUUCCGGUUCCGACGGUCGCAGUUCGAAUCUGCGCGGGGGUA